rnacentral:rRNA from 1 species
GAUGAGCAUGCGUCCCAUUAGCUAGUUGGUAAGGUAACGGCUUACCAAGGCAACGAUGGGUAGGGGUCCUGAGAGGGAGAUCCCCCACACUGGUACUGAGACACGGACCAGACUCCUACGGGAGGCAGCAGUGAGGAAUAUUGGUCAAUGGGCGCAAGCCUGAACCAGCCAUGCCGCGUGCAGGAUGAAGCAUCUAUGGUGUGUAAACUGCUUUUGUACGAGAAGAAACACUCCUACGUGUAGGAGCUUGACGGUAUCGUAAGAAUAAGGACCGGCUAACUCCGUGCCAGCAGCCGCGGUAAUACGGAGGGUCCAAGCGUUAUCCGGAAUCAUUGGGUUUAAAGGGUCCGUAGGCGGUUUUGUAAGUCAGUGGUGAAAGCCCAUCGCUCAACGGUGGAACGGCCAUUGAUACUGCAAGACUUGAAUUAUUGGGAAGCAACUAGAAUAUGUAGUGUAGCGGUGAAAUGCUUAGAGAUUACAUGGAAUACCAAUUGCGAAGGCAGGUUGCUACCAAUACAUUGACGCUGAUGGA